CUGGGGUUCUACAUUGAACAGAAAGAAGAAAGUGAACUGGACCCUGGCAUCAUCUUUCUAUUUCCAGACUAAAGAUAUGCUGACCAGCUGCCUCGAGUUCCCACCUCAGGUCUUCCUCACCAAGCUGGACUGGGCCUUCAGAUUGUUCACAUAAAAGAAAUAAAGUGAAUCUCUGAAAAAAAGGAAGAGAGAGAUCCCUAAGUCCUGGCCAGUAAGAGAAAGGGGUUUAUUUUUGCUCACCGCUCCGGCUUUCCUUCUGGUGGUGCCCAGGCAACAGAAUCCAACAUCAUGACCUUGAAAGGCAGAAGCGUAGUCAUCCAGCUUUUCAAAAUCCACCACUUCUUGAUUCUAGACAAAGAAGAGCACAAUGGCAUAGAACUUCAUACACUUAAAAACGAGACAAAACACUUUGAGAUAUAAAGAAUAAAUGACAAAUGAUUAUCGGAA